UACGUAGGGUGCGAGCGUUGUCCGGAAUUAUUGGGCGUAAAGGGCUCGUAGGCGGUCUGUCGCGUCGGUAGUGAAAACUCAGGGCUUAACCCUGAGCCUGCUUCCGAUACGGGCAGACUAGAGGUAUGCAGGGGAGAAUGGAAUUCCUGGUGUAGCGGUGAAAUGCGCAGAUAUCUGGAGGAACACCGGUGGCGAAGGCGGCAUCCUGGACCGGCAUUGACGCUGAGGCGCGAAAGCCAGGGGAGCAAACGGG
rnacentral:rRNA from 1 species